rnacentral:rRNA from 1 species
AGAGUUUGAUCAUGGCUCAGGAUGAACGCUGGCGGUCUGCUUAACACAUGCAAGUCGAACGGUGUCUUCGGACACAGUGGCGGACGGGUGAGUAACGCGUGAGAAUCUGCCUUCAGGUCUGGGACAACAGAGGGAAACCGCUGCUAAUACCGGAUGUGCCGAGAGGUGAAAGCUUUAGUGCCUGAAGAUGAGCUCGCGUCUGAUUAGCUAGUUGGUAGGGUAACGGCCUACCAAGGCGAUGAUCAGUAGGGGAACUGAGAGGUUGACCCCCCACACUGGCACUGAGAUACGGGCCAGACUCCUACGGGAGGCAGCAGUGGGGAAUCUUGCGCAAUGGGCGAAAGCCUGACGCAGCCAUGCCGCGUGAAUGAUGAAGGUCUUAGGAUUGUAAAAUUCUUUCAGCGGGGACGAUAAUGACGGUACCCGCAGAAGAAGCCCCGGCUAACUUCGUGCCAGCAGCCGCGGUAAUUC